GAUGAAGAACGCAGCGAAAUGCGAUAAGUAAUGUGAAUUGCAGAAUUCAGUGAAUCAUCGAAUCUUUGAACGCACAUUGCGCCCGUCAGUAUUCUGGCGGGCAUGCCUGUUCGAGCGUCAUUACGCCCCUCAAGUCCCCUGUGGACUUGGUGUUGGGGAUCGGCGAGGCUGGUUUUCCAGCACAGCCGUCCCUUAAAUUAAUUGGCGGUCUCGCCGUGGCCCUCCUCUGCGCAGUAAUAAAACACUCGCAACAGGAGCCCGGCGCGGUCCACUGCCGUAAAACCCCCCAACUUUUUAUAGUUGACCUCGAAUCAGGUAGGACUACCCGCUGAACUUAAGCAUAUCAAUAAGCGGAGGA
rnacentral:misc_RNA from 1 species